rnacentral:misc_RNA from 1 species
AGACUGGGGAGUUGGUUUUGAUGAUUUUGAGAUUUUUGAUGGAUUGAAGAAAUGAAGAUGAUGUAGCAAGUCAGCAGAACUGCAGAAAGUUUCUACGCUGCUUUUUAAUAUUUCUGCAAGUCACAACGUGUAGAAGUCGUCAUCUCUUUGUUAGCGCUACAACAGCCAACAGUGGUACAACAGAUAAGGUUGAUCCAAAUGGGCCAGCAGAAGCAAAUCCUAAUCUCAUAAGAUACAAGAGAUUCACACAUGGGAAGUCUAGAAGACAUCAACAGCAGAUGGGAUCAAGAUAAAUACCAGAAUUUUAAUUAAAUAAAAAUCAUGAUCAAAUCAUUCCUGUUUUGAAUUUAUCUUAUCAUUUUGUUGAAAAUUAUCUCUAAAAUAGAAAUUGAC